AAAGAUUUUCUUACUAGAUAAAAAGUAAUUUAUUUAAGAGAAUUAUCUUUUAUUUUAGUAUUUUAUCGAAAAAGUUGAUUUAGUAAUAGUUUACUAGUACUGUAAAGUAAUGUUGAAAUAUUUUGAAAUAAUUAUUUCAUAAAAAGCAUACAUUUUGUAGUACCUUUUGCAUCAGGGUUAAUUUAUUUUAUCUAAUUUAUAUUGAGU
rnacentral:rRNA from 1 species